rnacentral:lncRNA from 1 species
GUUCUGUCGUUGAGUUUUCUUAGUCUUGCUUUGGUGGUUUUUCCUGUGAUGUUACCUUGAUGAUGAUGUGAGUAGUGUAGAGAUUGGUUGGAUAACUGGUUCAUGAUGAUUUCUGUUUAAAACUUGUGAAAUUGCAUGCGUUUGUGUUGAUAUUGUUGAGAUUGAGCAUGAGUGAUGAACGAUAAGCGUGGUCUCUAUGUGUUUGCAAUCAAUGAAAUAAUCUGUGAGAUUUGAGCCUUGACUGUCACCAUUUUUACAGUCUUAUUUGUUAUUCUUGAGUGAUUGUUUGAGCAUGCUUGUGUCUCACUAGAACUUGUCUUGGUUUCUCCCUCGAGGUCACAUAGUGUGCUUAAUAACUUUGAGAUGAUGGUCAUCUUUACUAGCCUAUAUUUCUCAUUUUUGUCCUUUUACUAUAUAUGAUCCUAGUUCACCCCCUUUGAGCCUUAUUUUUCCAUAUUAUUUGAUUUAGC